UUGCUAAGCAAAAGAAAAUGUCUCCAUGCGGCCGCUGCGGAGCCCCGGGUGUCUGCCCUAGGCUUAGGGAAACGCUGCCGGCGUAGGUCGGCUCUCCCGAUAUGCCGAUGGGAGUUUGCAGAGCCACGGGGAGGGCAAGGAGAGUGUAGGGGACAAGGGGCUAUGCUGUGGCUUGCAGGGAGUUCUGAGUUGCUGGCGGCAGCCUGCUCCGAGUUGCUUAGACCCGACAGCGUUGUUAGCUAGGUUUGCACCGUCGUGUUCGGUAGGUUGACCAAUGUAAACUGAACUCUGCUGUGCGGAAAGCAAGGGGCUGCAGCUCUGUAAUUCCGUAAACCAAUCGGAGAAGGAGUGGAAAUGCUUCCUGUUGUUCACCGAGUUCAGAAUCUUGUGCACUGCCAACAGAGGGGACCUGCGGCCUGGUGGGAUUAGGUUUUGCAGAUUGCACCUGGAUCCUGUUUUAUUUGGGAAUGGAGCGAAUGAAAUUGGUAUAGGGACGCUGCUAUAUUCAACUCGGGACAAGACAGCAGCUUUGGAUCAACAACUUGCGCCAGUAACCCUCAAAACCUCUAAGUUUAGAUGUAAAAAUGUUAAAACAAAAAACCUCAGUCGGAUUGUUUAUAAGCCUAUCUUAAUAUGGAGAAGGGAUUUAAGAGCUGAAAUUUUCAAAGCCACCUAACAUCAAUUUCAAGAGGAGGUAUGGGGAUUUUGCUGCACAGUUCCCUUUGAAGUUAAUGGGAAUUGUGAAGCUAAAUUCCCUAGUCAGCUGUGAAAACUGCAACAGAGAUUUGGGAAAACUGUUGCCACUGAGCAGCGUUGCCAACUGCAAGCAUUCAGAAGUCAUGAUUAGCUUAAAAUCAUGAUUUUUUUUUUUUUUUUUUUAAAAGUGCCCCCUGCCCAAUACCUUUUGGUAUGUGACCUCUAGGGUUCACAUCUUCAAGCUUUUAUCUAGCAUCAUGAAGGCUAGAAAUAUAUAUAUAUUAAUGAAAGCUGAGAUUCUAAUGCAGGGGUGGGCAAUAAUUUUCACAGGGGCGCCACUCCACGAAUUUUGACUUGCAUCCUAGUCUUAUUUGCUAAAUAGCAUUUUGUGCUCUUUGCUAACCUUCUACAAGCCUGAAGAAGCCUAAAAAGCUACAGAAAAGCCAAGAAAUGCAUCUCAAGUACUGCAUUAAAAUGAAACAUCCCAAGGAGACAGUACGUCUGGGCAAAAAGGUUCUUAUGAAAAUUCAGACUCUGGAAUCUGUCAAAUCUACAUUGACUUAUAUAAACAACUGACAUUUUUUAAAAUUAUCUUUAAAGUGCUGGAGACAAGAUGGGUGAGGUGUUGUGCAAGUUUCCUUUGAGGACAAAGAGGUUGCAUGCAGUGUGAUGGUCACUUAAUGAAAAACGUUCACUCAGGCGAAGAUGUGCUCUGACCUGUCCUGGUUCACAUCCAUCACAGGUGUCACUGCCAGGGUGUAUGUGGAAGGAUAGCACAGUUUCUCCAAUCUUUACUUCAUCCCCAUGUUCCAGAACAUAAGGGUCACAUUUUGUUUUAGGCUAUACAAAAAGAAUUACACAAUUUUGUCAACUGUAUUUAUUAGAAUAACUGAUAAAAUUCACCAUUACAUGUAUUCCAGGAAUAUUGUUUAUAUGCGAGUCAUUCAGUAUAUUUAAAUUGGUAUCUCGGUAAUUAACUAUAUUUUUAAUUGGAACAAAUUUCUCAUAAUUCCUAAUCCAAAAUAAAUAGGAAAAUGUAUCAUAAGUACACCUAAAAACUGAGCAGAAGCAAAGAAAUGAUCAAUGCAUAGAAGAAAAACCACUCAGCAAAAUCAUCGGUGAUUUGUAAGUCAGAAUUUCAUUUAAAAUGACUAUGUGAUUGAUAUGCUUUUUAUGAAAUAUAAAUACCUAGUUUUCUAAUCACAGUAAGCUGCAAUGCUCACCUGUAGAAUCUGAUUUCCGUUAACAACUGUGCCAUUCUGACUGCCUUGAUCCACAAGAACAUAAUUUUGCAAUUCAUGGUCAAAAUAUACUUCUGCAUGAAACUAGAAAAAUAAUGAAAUAAAAUGUUUCUACUGCAUAGCAUUUAGUUUACAUAUUAUCUUAAUAUUCCCGGAUGUAUUUUAGUGGUCUAACACCACACCUCUGGUAUUGUAAGUCAAGUCACACUGUCACAGGCUUUCUGAUUUGACCAAACUGAGGAGUGUAUGAACAAAACCUAGUAUUUCUGGCGUACUAAAUUCCAUAUUAUCAGCACAACUGUAUUUGUUGAUUGGGCUGUAGAGAUUUACAGUUGUGAACAAUCCUAUAAUGGCAGAGAGAUUGACGAAGAUGACCUCAGAUCUUUUCGGUCUCUAGAUUCUAUGAAUAGGAUAAACCACAAUUCAACUAAAGUUUAUUUUAAAGAUGCUAACCCUGGAGCUUUUUGGUGAUAUGAUUUUAAUCUUUUUUUUUUAAAAAAAGAUGUAAAUGUGAAAGUGAUCCACACAGAAACAAAAUGCUGCCAUGUAUUGCAGGUGGAGGAAAACAGCUUAGUGCCACUAACUUUCUAUGGUUCCACUGCCAGAAGAAAUAGAAACCUGAUCCAAUGCCCACUGAAGUGAAAGGAAAAACUUCAAUUGACUUCAAUAUGUAUUGCACCAAGCCCUUAUUGAUCAAGAACCUAAGUUUAUCUGAUUCUGUGUCCUAUCAGAGACAGACGUUAGGAUUAUCUAUUAAAAACAAAUUUAUUGGGCAAAAUUCUCAGUUUCAUGCCUGCAAAGAAAAAAUGUCUGUAAUAAGUGACUGUGGAGAUCUAAAAGAAAGAAUGAAUAUCCCUAUAAAGGUAUGUUAUCUAAAAAGGAACUAGAAUACAUUUCUGUUAUUUAUACAAAAAUUAAACAGCUUUGUUUUAUAGGUGAUAUUAAAGAUGCAAAAAAUUCUUUCAAUAUUUUUUGCAAUAAAAGCAUAAUAUUUUAGUAGAAGCCUUCUUUGGCUUUCUAUUAUGUAAUUCUUUUUCCUCCAAAAUAUGUAAAAGUGUGAGAUUUAAAAAAAAAAAGUUAACUUUUUGUAUGCCUACACUUGUGUGUCUCUUUAAGGAACAUUUCAAAUGUUGGGAAUAUAUUGCUUACUACUAUGGUGUCAGGAAAAUGUCCUGACUUACUGAAAGUAAACUGAUGAGUGUUUAGAUUUUUUGAGACUAUAGUCAAUAAAUGUAUUUCAUCACUGUGGCUACAAAAACAAAUAUUACAAGAAAUGUGGUUGAGAAGAAUAAAUGAGAGAAAUUAGUCAAUUUACUGCUUUUAUUAGAUUAACUGCUGAACUCAGAAGAAAAAUGGUUUAAAUGGAAUAAAUCGGUAAGAAUUCAUUGAUCACGUCUGUGGAAAAAAUCUACUGUAUUAGUACUGUAUGUCACAGUAUACCUAGAGUAACUCAACCUAUACUGUCGCAACCCUGAAUUUCCUUACUUUCUGUAUUUGGAACCCUCUCUUUUAAUACUUGUAUAAAAAUAUGUACUAUCAACAAUUUUGUUUAUAUUUAAUAAGCUAGUAACUAAAGUGCACUUCAACUCUGAAAAGUCAUUGUUAUAUAGGAUGGAUGCGGCUCUAGGUUUGUUGUUUGUCAAUUAACCUUUGAGAUCUAAUCUGUUUGUAGAGGAGUUUUAAACAGUCUAAUUAAAAAUUCCUUCUCUUCCUGUAUUUUUUUUUUCCAAUCUGCUAACUCUGCAAACUCAUCCUGGAAUCUGCAAGACAAGCUGGGUUCCUUCUGACUUAUCACCAGAAAUAAAGAUUCUGCAUUCAGAAUUUAAGUUACCACUUCUGUUAAUGAUGUGCAAAUGAAAAUAAAAUCUAGCUCAUUCUCCCAGCUAUAUUGGCUCUGAAAGAGAGAAAUGUAAAGUAAACUGUAAUAAAAACGUAUCUCUUUACGUUACUGACCAACUAUGACUAUGAAUGCAAACAUGGAUCUGGUCUAUUGAAUAAGAAGUUGUUUUCAAUCAUUUUUCAGAGUAAAACUGCACUUUAAAGUAAUUGGUAACUCACUGUGAAAUAACCAGAAAUAAUAACUUCAUUUUCAAAAUAACUAACAUUACUAGUCCAAUGAAUAUUUGUAGGCAACCUGUAAGUUUCUGUUACCUACCCUGGAGGAAAAAAACCUCAUUGUCUUGGCUGUGCCUGAUGUUUGUCAUAAUUAAAUUAUAAUACACUGUUUAGGAUUCCUGAUAUCAAGCGAUAGGACUGAUUAUAGUAUAAAGUUGGGAAAAUUUAAAUUGCUUUUCUCUUAAAAGAAUGCUUUAUAAAAGACAAAAAGACAUGAAUCAGCAUCCCUUGACUACGCAAAAUAUAUUCUCUGAUCUCUGGAAUGACAGGAAGGCGGAGUAGAUCUAAAUUUGUAUAUACGGAUACAUAAAGUUGGCGUGCAGGACAAGAGAUAUGACUUUUUCAAAUAGUAUUUAAAAUAAGGUUAUCUGGCAAAGAUAAUGGUUCAAAAGCAAGAUUUAGUAGCAAAGCUAUCUGCAUAAGAUACAACACUGGAACCAUAAAACAUUACUAGUUACAAACAAACCUGGUUCAUUUUCAGAUUAAAAAGACAUCUUUAAAAUGCUAAAAUAAUUAUUAUAAAUUGACUAUCUUAUGCCU